rnacentral:rRNA from 1 species
CCUACGGGUGGCAGCAGUGGGGGAUAUUGCACAAUGGGGGAAACCCUGAUGCAGCGACGCCGCGUGUGGGAAGACGGUCCUCUGGAUUGUAAACCACUGUCCCCAGGGACGAAGAUGACGGUACCUGGGGAGGAAGCUCCGGCUAACUACGUGCCAGCAGCCGCGGUAAUACGUAGGGAGCGAGCGUUGUCCGGAAUUACUGGGUGUAAGGGGAGGGUAGGCGGGACUGCAAGUUGGGUGUCAAAUCUACCGGCUCAACCGGUAGCCGCACUCAAAACUGCAGUUCUUGAGUGAAGGAGAGGCAGGCGGAAUUCCUAGUGUAGCGGUGAAAUGCGUAGAUAUUAGGAGGAACACCAGUGGCGAAGGCGGCCUGCUGGGCUUUUACUGACGCUGAGGCUCGAAAGUGUGGGGAGCAAACAGGAUUAGAUACCCUUGUAGUC